rnacentral:rRNA from 1 species
UACGUAGGGUGCAAGCGUUGUCCGGAAUUAUUGGGCGUAAAGAGCUCGUAGGUGGCUUGUUGCGUCUGCCGUGAAAGCCCGUGGCUUAACUACGGGUCUGCGGUGGAUACGGGCAGGCUAGAGGCUGGUAGGGGCAAGCGGAAUUCCUGGUGUAGCGGUGAAAUGCGCAGAUAUCAGGAGGAACACCUGUGGCGAAGGCGGCCCCUGGGCCGGCCCUGACACUGAGACGCGAAGGCGUGGGGAGCGAAC